GUGAGACUGUGAAUUCUUCAAAAGCAGGUACUGUGUUUAAUGAAGUGUGCCCAGGACUUUGCUCAGUGACUGGAUGACACAGUAGGAGUAACAAGAAAGUUCACAUGGGUGAACCGUGGUAGGUGGACAUCGUCUCUCUCACCUCUUCCCAAAUCAAGGAUGAAGUACAUCUUCAUAAAUCCUCAUGUGAAUUAUUUUGCUACCUCUAGAAGCAUUUUCUAAAACAAGGUGCAGCAAUCAGUUGAGUGAAUUUGUCACCAGAGCUUAUGUUUUCUGAAAGAACCCUAUCCUCAGGCAGUUGUUCCUAAGAGCCUUUUCCUUUCCCUUGAAGAUUCCACAAAUAUGUCAGCGCUGGAAAUGAUCCUUUGGCUUUGAACUAUGUGAAGACUGCAGAAGGACUGGUUGGUAAGCACCCACAUCCUGGGGUGAGAAUCACAUCCAGUUUAUACCUCCCUGUGCACACUUGUAUAAAACAACUAUAAGACACACGAGAGAUCUGGAAGCCAGUUCCUCAUAAGUAAGAAUUGGUCAGGCUGCAUUUGUAUCCUGGGUCCACAAGACAUCGUUUCCUUAAAACCAAUCCCCCUGAUUUUGCUAAGUGUCUGCAAGCCUAAUAUUUCAUGGAUGUUUGACAAGGACCCCGUCUUUAGCUGAACUAAGGAGAAAGUCCUGCAACACACACAUGGAGCUCAGCAAACGGAGGAUGUAGACCCCACUGGAAAUCGGACUGUUCAACUCACCUGGCAGCCACUCACAGAGCCCGUGGAACUCUGGCCCAAGGCUCUCUGACUCCUUCUCGGCUUAGCGGCUAAAGACUGACACUGCCCGAUCGCCUCGGAAGCCCCGUAGACCAUCACGGACGCCGAGCUUUAGAUGAAGAAACUGAGGUCCAGAGAAGUUAAACGACCUUCCUAAGAUUACACAGCUUAGUAAGUGGCAGAACCACAGCUGGAAGCCAGGUCCUUCCUCACGCAAGUCCUGGCUCAUUCAUUCCUCUUCCAAAGACUUGCUGAGCACCUUCUAGGUGCCAGAUGCGGUGCUGGCUCCUGGGGACAUGGGAGUGAACAGGCCAGGCGUGGCCCUGAACCAUCAAAUAGACAACCACAGAAAUAACAACGAAUGAUGCUGGAGGCUGACGAAGAUAAGGGUGGAAAGUGGGCAAUAAAUCAGGAGCUGUUGCAACAUUCCCAGCAAAGGAUAAUGGUGAAUAACAAAGACAAAACCGGGCCCUUCCACACAGUAGCUGGAACACAAAGGAAGAUCAGCCAAGCCUCAACAUAAUCUCAUAAAAAUUCUUCAAAUAUCCCAUUGUUAUGGAUUCAUACAUCAGGAAAGCAGAUGCCAAGAACCUGAACACCUUCUACUGGUAACAUAUAUUUUGGCGAGCCAGCCUGGAGACAAGACCACUAUGGGCAACUUCCUGUCUAUUCUACCUGGUGUCACUGUGGACAACUUCCUAUCUAUUCCACCCGAUUCACCGCUUGGCUACAUCCUCCACCAUUGGGAUGAAUUUGACCCUAACAAUCUAAAGAAAAGGCAUAUGAUUUUUUACUGCAAUAUUGUUUGACACAAUUAUGAGCUGCCCAAUCCGGAACAAUGGGCAGUCAAUGGUAGCCUUAAUUAUGAUACCAUCCUGUAUCUAGACCUAUUUUACAAGAGGCAGGGCAAAUGGUCAGAAGUCCCACAUAUACAGGCCUACAUGACCCUAUACGAAGACCUAAGAAUCUAGGAAACUCCCAGAACCCAUCCCCCGAAGGAAAGUUCUGGGGCAGAACUAGAUAUUAUAGAUGAACCCCCUUUUACAAGGGAUACCUGUCUCUCAGAGUGAGCAGUGACUGUCCCCAUAUAACCCCUCACCAAGUGCUCCUGAGGCUGAAACCCAGGGGCAAACAUGGGGAACCCUACUAAGUCCCCCUCACACUUGGAGGGGAACACUGUAUUCAACUCUCUAUCCAGCCCUGCUACUCUCAGAGAAAUAGCAGGGGCUGAGGGGCCAAUCCUAGUGUGGGUCCCCUUCUCUAUGAUUGAUAUACAACAAUGUAAGGAAAAGCUAGGAAGCUAUUCUGAGGAUUCCGGGAAGUUUGCAGAUGGGUUCCAAACUUUGACCUUAGCCUUUGAUCUCUCAUGGAGAGACGUUCAAUUCACUCUAGCAACCUGUUGCACCUCCUCGGAAAAGGAACGAAUCUUUGAGGCUGCCCUCCGAGAAGUGGACGAAUUAUUCACCCAAAACCGUAAAGGCAGUCACCCAGGCCCAGCCACAGUUCCCACUACGCAUCCUAAUUGAGACCAAGACACCCCCGCAGGAAGGAACAACUGGGCUAAAUUUCUUGAGGCUCUUGGAGGAAUGAGAAAGGGAAUAACUAAGGCAGUAAAUUAUGAUAAAGUAAGGCAGAUUACACAAGGCAGGGAGGAAAACCCAGCUGUGUUUUACGGCAGGCUGCGGGAAGCCUUUAAAAAAUAUAUACUAAUUUGGUCCCUUCCUCUCCUGAAGGCAAGUUAUUAAUGGCACAACGUUUCAUUAGCCAAUCCACACCAGACAUUAGACGUAAGCUCCAAAAGCUACACAUGGGGCCACAAACUAACCAAAAUCAGCUUCUUGGUACUGCCUUCAUGGUGUAUAACAAUCGUGACCUGGAGGAAGGAGAAGGGAAACAGAGUAAAGAAAAACGGCAAGCCAAAAUUAUGUUAGCCAUCACUGGUGAUGCCCUAAAUGCACAAAGAUUGUCCAAGGGAAACUCAAAGGGCCAUAAGGAUAAUGCCAGCAAAGGCUCUUGCUUCAAAUGCAAUAAAAGUGCGAUUGGGCACAGGAAUCCACUAAGCCCCCGCCAGUCCCCUGCCGUCAAUGUAAAAGCACCAGUUGUGGCUCCUGGCCCUGGAGAAUUGACUGUCCCUGCUCCCACCAAGGGGCUCAGUCAGUCAAAACUCUGGCAGUGCACAAGGAGGAAUCAGAUGAAGACUGAAGGGGCCUGGGGCCUUCCUCACUGCCCCGUCUAGGAACAUUGUAAUUACUACUGAGGAACCCUGGGUAACUCUGGACAUCAUGGCCACCCAAAUUCAGUUUUUAUGUGAUACCAAGGUGAAUUAUUCUGUACAACUGCUUAUGCAGGAAAACUUUCCUCCCGGUCCAUGAGUGAUAUUGGAUGGAAGGGAAGCCACAAACAAGAUUCUUACUCCUCCUUUGGUUUGUCAAUUUGAGAAACAAAUCUUCCAACAGGAAUUUUUAGUAGUACCAAGCUGCCCAAUUCCCCUGUGGGAAAGAGAUAUUAUGGUGAAAAUAGUGACACUACUGCAAUUUAAGCAAUAUUAGCAGGUGAAACUGCUAAUAGUAAGAAAUAAGGCAAUGUCCCAGACCAUGUCAAUAAACAGGUUAACCCACUGGCAUGGUAUACUGGAAACCCAGGGAAGGCUAAAACAGCAGUGCCAGUCAAAAUACAGCUUAAAGACCCCAGCCAUUUUCCCAAUGGAAAACAAUACCCAGUUGAACAGGAAGCAAGCAAAGGUCUAGCUCCCAUAGUUGAGAUAUUACUUACCCAUGGACUCUUAAAACCCUGCAAUUCUCCCUGCAAUACCCCCAUCUUACCUGUUCUCAAGCCUGGGGGGAAUACCAGCUAGUACAGAACCUCAGAAUAAUGAAUGAGGCUGUUAUCCCCGUCCACCCAUUGGUGGCAGAUCCAUAUGCCCUCCUGGCUCAGGUGCCAGGGCAUGCAAAAUGGUUCUCAGUCCUAGACCUUUCUUCUCCAUUCCUCUGGCCCCGAGCCCCCCAGUACCUUUUUGCUUUCGAAUGGGAAAAUCCUAAUACCAGAUAAAAACAAUACACUUGGACAGUGCUUCCUCAGGGCUUUCGGGAUAGCCCCCACUUCUUUGCCUGAGCAUUAGAGCGGGAUCUGAGGGAUUUCAAGUUAGAAAAUGGAGGUAUUCUUCAGUAUGGGGAUGACCUUGUGUGUAGCCCAACCUAGGAGGUUUCUGACCAAAAUACUAUAAAAACUUUGAAUUUCCUGGCAGACAGAGGAUACAAAGUGUCCAAAAAGAAGGCUCAGAUUACCCUCCAAUGGGUCCACUAUUUAGGAUAUGUCUUAACACCCGGAACCCGGCAAAUAUCCCCAGAAGGAGUGCAAGCUAUAUGUGGUUUGGCCGCGUGCACCACCCCCAGCCCCCACCCUGACCCACCUCCAAGCAGCAGCUUUGUUCCUUUUUGGGGAUGGCCGGGCUUUGGAGAAUAUGAGUACCAAAUUUUGGGCUCAUAGCAAAGCCCCUAUAUGAAGCAACAAGGGGGCCUGAAAAUGAGCUAAUGGAAUGGACCCCGGAAAUGAGGAAAGCCUUUGCCAAGUUAAAACAGGUUCUCACCCAGGCUCCUGCUCUUGGUAUCCCAGACCUAAUUAAGGCCUUCUCCUUGUAUGUAGCAGAGAAGAGGGGCAUAGCUGUGGGAGUGCUAGCCCAGAAAUUAGGAUCAGAACCCAGACCAACCGCCUACUUCUCAAAAAAGUUGGACGGAGUGGCCUCAGGAUGGCCAAGUUGCCUGCGGGCAAUAGCAGCCACUGCUGUUAGUGGAGGAAGCCACUAAAAUCACCCUAGGGCAACCACUGGAAGUUCUAACGCUCCAUCAGGUAAAGUUAGUCUUAGAAAUAAAGGGACACAUCUGGAUGACAGGGGAAAUGUUAACUAAAUACCAGCCCAUGCUCCUAGACAAUCCAGAUAUAACUCUUAAAACCUGCAACACUUUAAAUCCAGCUUCAUUGCUGCCCACAGGCCCAAUAAUUGAUCAUUCCUGUGAGCAGGUCAUUGCACAUACAUAUGUUAGCCAGCCUGAUUUAAAAGAUGAGGCUCUCCCAGAUUCUGAAGCUGACCGGCUCACAGACGGCAGUAGUUCUUUGUCGAAUGGGGAGCACAGAGCUGGAUAUGCAGCAGUAAAUCAUGACACAAUUAUUGAAGCCCAGCCAGUGCCCCCUGGCACAUCAGCACAAAAGGCUAAAAUCAUUGAUCUUACUCAAGCAUUAAUGUUGGGACAAGGGAAAAAACUUAACAUCUAUACAGAUUCUAAAUAUGCAUUCCUUGUGGUUCAUGCUCAUACCGCCAUCAGGAAAGAAAGGGGAUUACUUACUAGCAAGCACUCCCCUAUAGAGCAUGGACCUGAAAUUCUGCAGCUAUUGAAGGCAAUACACCUGCCAAAGGCCAUAGCUAUCAUUCAUUGUAGGGGGCAUCAAAGGGACUUAACCCCUAUAGCACAAGGGAAUGGAAAGGCUGACGGAAGCCAAAGCAAAAGCCCUCAGCGUGCAAUCCCAACAGAUCCUAGCACUGCUUCCUUUCUACAAUUCCCCAGUAGAACCCAAAUACACACCACAGGAAGAACAGCUAAUAAAAAAAGCAAGGGAGACAAAAACAAGGAUCCUGGUGGCAUAUGGAGCCAAAAAUAUAUCUCCCUCAGGCAGCCCAGUGGAGAGUUAUAAAAGCCCUGCAUGACUCUUUCCAUGUGGGGAGGGAUGCGGCUCUGGCCAUGGUAAACAAGUUCUUUACUGGGUUUAACUCAGCUUCAAUGGCUAAGCAGGUCUGUCAAGCCUGCUCACUGUGUGCAUUUAACAAUCCAGGCAUCAAAAUGCCCCCUCUAAUAAAACCAGUCCAAAGGAGGGGAACUUAUCCAGGGGAAGACUGGCAGUUAGACGUCAUCCAUAUGCCAGCUUGCAGAGGAUACAAGCUUUUGUUAAUACUAAUAGAUACUUUUAGGUUGGGUCAAAGGUUACCCCAGAAAAGGCUAAUGAGGUUCUAAGGUCCUCUUAAAAGAAAUAAUUCCCCAGUUUGGGUUACCUCAGGGUCUCCAAAGUGAUAAUGGCUAAUCCUUUAUCUCCCAAAUAACUCAAGGGGUUGCUAAGGCUCUUGGAAUAAAAUACUAUUUACAUUCAGCCUGGAGGCCCCAAUCCUCUGGAAAAGUGGAAAGGGUUAACCAAACUCUAAAAUAAGCACUAGCUAAACUAUGUCAGGAAACAUCAGAAACUUGGGUUAGCUUAUUGCUCACAGCCCUUUUAAGAAUUUGUAAUACCCCUAGCUCAAAAAUUAACAGAAGCCCAUAUAAAAUGUUAUACAGAAGGCCAUUCUUAACUAAUGAUUUAAUUAUUGACCCAGAAAGAGUUGGUGUAAUUAAAUACCUAGUCAACCCAGAACAAUUCCAGCGGGUUUACAAGAGUUUGGAAUUCAAAGGCUCCUCACACUUGGAACUAACCAGCAACCCAAAAUCAGGCCAGGAGAUAGGGUACUUGUUAAAACAUGGAAUGAGGGAUCACCUGCCCAACAAUUACAACCCCAAUAGAAGGGACUUUUUUCAGUAAUACUGGCCACGUCUUCUGUGGUCAAAGUACUAGUAUUAGAUAGCUGGAUACAUCUUUCAAGGAUCAAACCAUCAAUACCAGAAGCUCCAGACCAGGAACCUGAAGUUCCCAUCAGCCAGUACACCUGUGAACCAGUGGAGGACCUGAAGUACCUGUUUAAAAGAUAGCCAAAAGAUAAGUAAAUGCCUACCAACUUUCUUUGGUGUCUUUGUUGCAUAGUUACUGUGGGCUGGAAAAUAGUAGCCAUUUUUAUCUUUGCAGUUUAAUUGCCUUCUUCCAAAUAGAUAAAAAUCACUUCCUUUGUAAUAAUUAAACAGAAUUUAAAAAAUACAUUUCUAUGACAAAUAUUCCUGAUGGCAUAAGUAUCCACCCCAAGGUUCCCAUUAAAUCUUUUAACCUAAAGUAUUUCCUCUCACCUAGAGAUCAUCGAGCUGUGUGACAAGGGUGCCAGCCACUCCAGGUGAAGACACCACCCCAGGCCAUCAAGGAUCUUCCCUACCUUCACUAAACAGAGCAGGGUGAAAGUUGUGUGAUCCCCAAUAGGUAGGGACUACACCCCAAGUCAGCAGGAAGCAGUUACAGAAGAAAGACCAUUGGUCCCUCUGCUUCCCAUAAAGAUUUAUGGGGAUCACAGCUUUCACGGGGGAGAUGAGGCAAGAGAAUAGGGCAUGCAGGCAGGGUACUUGAGGCCAAUCCACGCUGACUUCCUAGAACUGAAUUAAAUGAAAGCUCCUCAGCAAUGACAGGAAUGUGAAUGGCUUUGUAACUUCUUCCUCUCCAUUAAUGCUAUUUCCACUUUGUAACUUCACUUUCAUCCUCUCCAUUUACAUAGAUCACACACCAAGUAACAUCCUCUCCAUUUACAGUAGGGCGCAUUCCGAGUCAAUGACUCUGACUGCACUUCGUUCUCCUCAUUUACAUAGAACAUUCGCCAAGUAACCAAUGGGAAACCUCUAGAGUAUUGAAACUCCAGAAAAUUCCGUAAGUGGGGCUCUUGAGCGUCUACACUCGGGUCGCUCCCACACUGUGGCGUGUACUUUUAUUCUCAAUAAAUUCCCGCUUUUGCUUUCCUCGUUC
rnacentral:lncRNA from 1 species